UGAAUUGUGGCUGAGUGGAAAAGCGUUUGGGUUCUGAACCAGGGGGUCGCGGGUUCGAAUCCUGGCCAAGACUG
rnacentral:tRNA from 1 species